CGCCUCCCUCUCUCUUGGGUGCUCCAAUUUUAUUUUGUCCCCUCGUGCGAGCCGACAAGCCGCGGAGAAAGAUUGAUCGCGAUCGGCCCUCAUCCAUGUCGACCUCGCGCAGGCGGACCCUCCUCAAGGUCAUCGUCCUCGGCGACAGCGGGGUCGGGAAGACGUCGCUGAUGAACCAGUAUCCUAGCCCUGACCCUGAUUGCUCCGCAUUUAGCUUUGCUAUAUGGUUUAAUCGAUGCAGGGUUGAUGCCUAUGCUCGGUGGGAUUAUCUCGUUUUGCCCCCUUCUAAUCAAUUCGCCCAACUAGCUCUUGAUAGGUAGCGAAUUUGCAGGCCAUGGGGCAAAAUCUGCGCCUCUUACUUGUAAGGGUUUGACCCAUUUAGCUGCAGGAACGCUUUUGGCAGCAGCCCCAGUUUUGGAACAGGCUUCGUGGUAAGAACAUAUCGGAUAGCACUUGUCAAGAUUAUUUUGUUUGUCGGUGGAGUUCGCUUCAUCUGUCGCAGGUGUUCACCUUUUUUAAUUGGCAAACAUUUGAAAAUUCAUUCACAAGAAAGAAAAGUUCACAUUUUCUUACCACGAAGUUCACUACAUCAUCUUUGGGGAUCGCUGCUGUUAGUUCACAAGAUUAUUUUUUCACAGGGGCAAGUUCAGUUUAUAUGUUUAGGGAACUCAUGUCAGUUUAGAUGCACAAAACUUCACUCUGAAACUCUCUGAAUAUGCACGACCCUCACUCUGAAAUUCACCCUCAUCCAUAUGCUACUUGCCCGCGCGCCCUUGCAUGAAAUCGCCGCCGGGCAAUUCUCACGAGACUGCCUCCCACGUGCACACUACAGGCCACUGCCGUUCUGCCCCUAAGUUUCCACCCAUAGUCACAUGAAUCUUGGAGAACUGCACUGUUUUGCUCGACCUGUGCUUGUGCUGGUGACGUGAAGUCGUGAACCAACUGGUGAUGUGAAGUGCACUUUGGUUGAUUUAUGUGCUUGGUUCAGCUGGCACCUAUCAUCGAGACGCAGAUGUGGCCGAUUUUUUAUGUCGGCUUCUUUUUAUAUCUGGAUAGUGUCCGCUUGUUUUUAUAUUUGGAUACCGUCGAACUUAUACUGCUGCUUGUCCCAUCCGACCGUUUGUUCUUAUAGUGGGGAGUUCCUUUUAUAUCUUCUGGGAGUUUAUUUAUCUUUCCCACUGUUUCAGUCUGAAAGCACACCACAAAAAUUAAAUUCAAAACAAAAAAUACAAAAGUGCGUCUGCAGCUAUGAAGUUUACUAUUAUUGUUUUGAGAAUGUGUGGCGUUCCUGAGGAAGAAUGCAUGAAGCUACUCCUGCUGAACAAGCUACGGGCCGUGCAGGGAGUAAUGACAACACUUGGAGCUCCCUUAGUAUUCAUGAAUUGAUACAGAAAUGAAACAGAAGGUAUGGCUUACCCUUGUUCUUGAGAAGACUGUAGUGCAUCACGUAUUCUGAAGUUAGUGAGUUAACUUCUUAAAUUUAUUUCUUGCUGUCAAACAUUUUACUUCAUCAAUGAACAUAACUGUAAAGUUCGUUGUAGAAAACAAAAGAAGUGCAUCCCCAAUCUUCGAUAGUUCACUGUAUAAGAUAUCGAAAUCUAGAUGGGCGUUACUAGAUGACAAUAUAUUACGGCUAUGAACUACUGGUUAACUAUGUGCCUUUAUUAUGAUUCCAACUUUUCUGAGUUUUAAAUUCACCUAAUUUAAUCAGUUUUGGUGCCUCAAGAAGAUACACCUGAGAUGUCCACUAUCAUUUUCCAAGAAAAUUGUGAAGUUCACUUUUAUUAAAAAACAAGUUCGCUCAUUUCUGUAUCAGUGUUAGAUAGAAAACAUUGCUUGUCAUUUUCCAUGUGAAUUGCUGUUCUUUUAGUGGGCACCACAGGGGAGCUCGCCGUGCGUGGGUGUGGUGCCGGCCUCACAAUACCCUCAUCAUUGGCGAACUCCCAAUGUUAUCGAGGUGGUGAACUGCUUCUUUUAUUAUUGGCAUACAUAUGAUCUUUGUGGCUCCUCUUACCAGCGACCUGUGCAUAGCUCGGUUGAAAGAUGAACUCUGUAGUUCACUGUUGCAAGCGAAUUUAUUUAGCAGUUGACUGACAUUUAUCGGAAGUUCAGACACAUAAAUAGGCGAAGUUCAUUUUGAUUGAUAUGGUUUAUAAUUUUGUUUUGAUGAAAAACAUAUUAAAGGAUCCUAUAUGCAAGUAGACAAUUCGAAUAUUGCGGUUACACUUAUUUGAUUUGACAUAGUGAAUGAUAAUAUUUAUCUUUGUGAUUGAUGCAACACAGCUACAAUAUUUAGAUAUGUUAAUGUUUUCUUUCAGUAGUUCGUCUAAUAUGUUCGCUUCUAUUUUGUGUGGAGUUAGAUUCAUAUAUCUUCAGAAGUUCAGUUUUCCUAUUUCACGUAUUGCCUUGGUUCUUUGACUAUCUAGUUCUUCAUAGCAAGUUGGAUUUUAUUGGCACUUUUUAAAAGCACAAUGACUUACAGUGAGUUCAUUACGUCUAAAAGUGAAGUUCACUCUGCAAAUAAAAUGAAGUUCGCUAGGCAUAAAAACUGAAGUUUGGUUCAGAAAUUGUAAAAAGAAUUCAGUAUAAUAGAAUCCUUGCUUGCUUCCACUCUGAAUUAUUUUAUAUUUCAGUCUGAGGUCAACACAGUAGCAUUUUCUGAUGAAAGUGGAAAUCUCAUUUAUUCUGGAAGCGGUGAUAAUCUGUGCAAAGUAGCUCGCUCUUACAAACUAUCAUUAUGCUAGACAAUAUAUAUAUGACCGAAUUUCUUUUAGAUUUAUUCACCAUUUGAAACAUAUGAAGUGUGAAGUAUUUUUAUGUUGCAACCUCCAAUUUCUGAAAGACAGUAAACGCUGAUUCUGGAUGAUUUUUUGUCAAGUAGAGUGGCAGUUGACAUGUCAUGAUUCCUGACAAAAAAGGAAGUUUGAAAUAUCAGGAAACGUAUGAUGCGUUAGCUAAUUUUCUGUAGCAUUUAUCAACCUUUUUUUGGUAGGUGAAAGAUAUGCAUUGUACAGGUACAUAAAUAACAUAAGAUGGUGCAGUAGCUAUGCCAAUAUCGUAACUUAUCGAGUUUGUUCCUUUAGUCCAGUAAAUUACCUAUAGACGACCAUUUUUUUAUGCAAAAUAACUGCUUCUAGUUCACGCGUGUACUCCUGGCAGCGCCACCAUGAACUCCGGCUCUCCCGCAUAGCCACAGCCGCCACAGGACAAGCGCCGCCACAGGAGUUCACAUGCCCUGCUGCGAUAGUUCACGUCGCUCUCCGCAGCGAGCAUGUGCAGUUCUAUCUUCAGAUUGCAAUGUGCUAUUGGUGUAUAGCUCUAACUGCAAGUAGAGCACCACAAGAGUUCAUUGUGCCUCCCUCGGCAGUCUGUGGUGCGUGGCCGGGAAGUCCACGCGCGCAUACCCUGGCAG